GCGGUGUUUGGGGCGAAGCUGGGCGCGCGGCGCUCGAAGCACUCACUCGGCGGGUUUCGUGGUUGGUGGAGACAGCAAGGGCGCCCCGCAGACCGCACCCCUCGAGCUAUAGGUUCGCAGGCCCGACUCGACGGCGUCCCUAUUGCUGGCCCAGCGUAUGGUCAUUGGGGGCCAUUUCUUGCAGAGAUGCCCUGCUCCCUGACGCGCUCGCUCUUCUCCAGAGUUGGCCAAAGGUGCUCUUCCCCGCAGACCCUAACCACACCCAGUGGCAGUUGGAUUUCUUUGUAACUGGCUUUCUCACAUAUAUCAUCUCUUCUUUUGAUCACUGUUCCUGAUUGUGACAUUGUGCAAGUGUUAAAUUGUGUGCCUUUUGUUCCUGAAGAAAGAGAUGUCUCCUACUCUUUGUGUUGGAUAGGUCCUGGGAUCUUUGAAAUGCUAAGAUUCUUGGAUACCACAGUAUCAUAAAAUUCCUCUAAAUGCAGUGCUGGUGGCAUUCUUUACCACGUGU
rnacentral:lncRNA from 10 species